rfam:Triticum aestivum genome assembly, contig: Triticum_aestivum_CS42_TGACv1_scaffold_093808_2AL
AUACUACUCCUUCCGUCUGAAAAUACUUGUCGAAAAAAUGCAUAAAAAUGAAUGUAUCUAGAACUAAAAUACAUCUAGAUACAUCCAUUCUUCCAACAAGUAUUUCUGAACGGAGGGAGUACGUA